CCUCCCUCUUUCCUCUGAUGUUCAAGUUGAGCUGCUCGGUUCGCUCUCGGUCUCAGUAGCUGCGUCCUCUUCCUUUCUAUUUUUCCUGAAUUGUGUUGGAUUUGUAACUUUUGAACAGCAACAUGUCACUUUGAGCAGGCUGCGUGAUGGAAUUUGAUGCAGGAAGCUUCUUUGAUUUGUGCACUGUGCAUGACUGCAAAAAAAAAAGGGUUUCAAAAGGCUUAAUUACUCCAUUGAAUGAGAGCGCGAGAGAAAUGGAAGCUUCCUUGCCAAUGUUGCACUCCCAAUUCAAGCCACAAACACUAGAUGAUAUAGACAAACAUAUGCCGAGAAUUCUGGUGAAAAUAAAAGGUCAAAUUUAUAUGAAACUGUUUAAAUUAUAUGGUACAUAGUCUAUAUAGUGUAUACAACAAAAAUUCACCUUGCAUAAAGAAUGAAUCAUGUUCAAAGUUUUAUUUCAAAGAGUUUAGAUAGCGAACACUCAUUAAUGAAGUAGAGUAUUUUAAAUAUAGACGUACUGAUAACGGUCGAACAGCGAAGAAAAAGAGAAUGUGUAUUAGAUAAUAAAUUCAUUGUUUUGUAUAA